UAUCCAUCUGUGCAACACCACCUGUACGGUGCUCAAAUCGCCAUGACUCCACCUCCCGUCACCGCCACGGCCUCCAAUAUUUUUAGGAUUCAUGGAAUGAACUGGAAAGGUAAUUACAGCUAAAGGGUAUUUGUGUUAUGAAAGAACACGUUUCUCGUGCCUUCCGUUAUUCAAAACAUUAUUGAUAUAACCUUGCAGUCAUUUCCCAGUAGGAGUGUCUUCCCAGAACCGAAAUGGGUUUCAGAAGACUGCACAUAUUGAUGUUGGAGAAGAUGAUGUGAAGAUCAAAAAUGAGGAAAAACCCAGAACUGAGAUCAGUUUGGCAAAUUUUAGCAGUGAAGAUCCUGUGAAGCAAGGUAAAGGCAAGAGCAGUGAACAGCCCAAGUCUUUAAGAUCCCGUCUCAUCAAAUUGUUCAAGAGCCCCACGAGAGGAGAGAACUACAACAUCCCCCAGGCAGUGUGGACAUGAUAAUCUUAUUUGUAGCCAUUACUUGCGGGGUUGGAACUACUAUCAACGCCAUUGACAACAUGGGUCAGAUUGAAAAAGCCCAGGGUUACACUCCUGUGAAUAUCAGUACUGUUUUUUCUCUCAUCAACAUCUGGAACUUUCUAGGCCGUGUGGCGGCAGGACUUUUCUCUGAGUUUCUGUAUGAAAAGUACAAAUUUCCCAGGCCAUUGAUUUUCACAAUAGUAUUGCUUAUCGCUUGCCUUCAGCAUGUCUUUACAGCUUUUCCUCUGCCAGGAUCACCGUAUGUAGCCUCAACCGUUAUAAGCUUGUAUUUUAGAACUCGGUGGCCCAAAUCCUUCAGAUCCUGUCUGGUCAAUGGAUUGCAUUUUACAAAUAGAAAAUGGAGGGAGAGAGCAAACAAGGGUGAGGGACUAAAGCACCUUCCCUGCUUCGAGCCCAGAGAAGAUUGUUUGUGGUAUUUAUAUGCUUUCUGAUAAUGUCCCCUGCUGAAGGGACUUUCAUGCCUCGUAUAUAUUCAGAAACUUAAUCUGCCCAAACAAUUUCAGACAGUGAUAUCAAUCAAUAUGCUCCAGCUGUUCAUUCAGAGAGAACUGCAGCUACGAUGGACAUGGUGCCGAGGCCUCGCAAACUUUCAGAACCAAGUAAACCUAAGCUUGAUCGAGGAAGUGGUGCACAGCAUAAUUAAAAUAUAUAUUUUAUCACUAUAUCAUAAGUUUUUAUUUAAAUAGAUUAUUGAAGUUAAGUAGGGAAUUAUUCUAGUGGAUUCUAGUGGAUGCCUUGUAAUUAUGGUCAGGCAAUAUUUAUUUCCUUCACCUAUCGUAGAUGCAAUGGAGAGAAUGCUGAAGGGUGGCAAUUUUUUUCUAAACCAAGUAAACCUAAGCCUGUUCCAGGACAUGGUGCAGAGU